rnacentral:rRNA from 1 species
AUGAACGCUGGCGGCGUGCCUAAUACAUGCAAGUCGAGCGAACGGACGAGAAGCUUGCUUUUCUGAUGUUAUCGGCGGACGGGUGAGUAACCCGUGGAUAACCUCCCUAUAAGACUGGGAUAACUUCGGGAACCCGGAGCUAAUACCGGAUAAUAUUUUUAACCGCAUGGUUCAAAAGUGAAAGACGGUCUUGCUGUCACUUAUAGAUGGAUUCGCGCUGCAUUAGCUAGUUGGUAAGGUAACGGCUUACCAAGGCAACGAUGCAUAGCCGACCUGAGAGGGUGAUCGGCGACACUGGAACGGAGACACGGUCCAGGCUCCUACGGGAGGCAGCAGUAGGGAAUCUGCCGCAAUGGGCGAAAGCCUGACGGAGCAACGCCGCGUGAGUGAUGAAGGUCUUCGGAUCGUAAAACUCUGUUAUUAGGGAAGAACAUAUGUGUAAGUAACUGUGCACAUCUUGACGGUACCUAAUCAGAAAGCCACGGCUAACUACGUG